rnacentral:rRNA from 1 species
AUUGAACGCUGGCGGCAUGCCUUACACAUGCAAGUCGAACGGCAGCACGGGGGCAACCCUGGUGGCGAGUGGCGAACGGGUGAGUAAUGCAUCGGAACGUGCCCAGUAGUGGGGGAUAACGUAGCGAAAGCUACGCUAAUACCGCAUACGAUCUACGGAUGAAAGCGGGGGAUCGCAAGACCUCGCGCGAUUGGAGCGGCCGAUGGCAGAUUAGGUAGUUGGUGAGGUAAAGGCUCACCAAGCCGACGAUCUGUAGCUGGUCUGAGAGGACGACCAGCCACACUGGGACUGAGACACGGCCCAGACUCCUACGGGAGGAAGCAGUGGGGAAUUUUGGACAAUGGGCGCAAGCCUGAUCCAGCCAUUCCGCGUGCAGGACGAAGGCCCUCGGGUUGUAAACUGCUUUUGUACGGAACGAAACGGCUCUCUCUAAUACAGGGGGCUAAUGACGGUACCGUAAGAAUAAGCACCGGCUAACUACGUGCCAGCAGCCGCCGUAAGAC